UGGUGCCAAGAAAGUUUA
rnacentral:snRNA from 1 species